rnacentral:rRNA from 1 species
AGUGAACGCUGGCGGCGUGCUUAACACAUGCAAGUCGAACGAGAAACGGAUUUAGCUUGCUAAAUUGCAGUCUAAGUGGCGCACGGGUGAGUAAUGUAUAGAUAAUAUGCCUUUUACUAAGGGAUAACAGUUGGAAACGGCUGCUAAUACCUUAUAUGCCUUUAAUACAUAAGUAUGCAAGGGAAAGAUUUAUUGGUAAAAGAUUAGUCUGUAUUGUAUCAGUUAGUUGGUGAGGUAAUGGCUCACCAAGACUAUGACGCAUAACUGGUUUGAGAGGAUGAUCAGUCACACUGGAACUGAGACACGGUCCAGACUCCUACGGGAGGCAGCAGUGGGGAAUAUUGCACAAUGGGGGAAACCCUGAUGCAGCAACGCCGCGUGGAGGAUGACACAUUUCGGUGCGUAAACUCCUUUUAUAUAGGAAGAUAAUGACGGUACUAUAUGAAUAAGCACCGGCUAACUCCGUGCCAGCCGCCGCGGUAA